rnacentral:misc_RNA from 1 species
AUCAGGCUAAUCAAGGGCAGCUUUGCUCUUCCGUCCAGAUAUUGGCUUUGGUAAACCAUCAAAUAUAGGUAUAUUUAUUGCUGCAGAUGAGAGAGCCUGCAGGUCAUGUUUCAAACUCCACUUAGAAGUUGGCCAAACAGAAGAAGUAUUAUUGUCGUCUUGGUCAAGCAGACUUGGUGUACUUGAUGAUUUACGAACUCCAGUCAGUAGUCCAUCAGAAAUAAAAGAAUCUCCCAAACCCACUGGUAUAGAAUUUAACCAUCCCGGCUCUGAUUCAGCAUAGAGCACUGUUCGGCUCGCUGAUUUUGGUCUCAUA